rnacentral:rRNA from 1 species
UACAGAGGGUGCGAGCGUUGUUCGGAAUUAUUGGGCGUAAAGGGCGCGUAGGCGGUGCGGUAAGUCACCUGUGAAAUCUCCUGGCUCAACUGGGAGCUUGCAGGCGAAACUGCCGUGCUGGAGUGUGGGAGAGGUGCGUGGAAUUCCCGGUGUAGCGGCGAAAUGCGUAGAUAUCGGGAGGAACACCUGUGGCGAAAGCGGCGCACUGGACCACAACUGACGCUGAGGCGCGAAAGCUAGGGGAGCAAACAGG